rnacentral:rRNA from 1 species
AUUGAACGCUGGCGGCAGGCCUAACACAUGCAAGUCGAACGAGCGGCGGACGGGUGAGUAAUGUCUGGGAAACUGCCUGAUGGAGGGGGAUAACUACUGGAAACGGUAGCUAAUACCGCAUACUAUCGGAUGUGCCCAGAUGGGAUUAGCUAGUAGGUGGGGUAAAGGCUCACCUAGGCGACGAUCCCUCGCUGGUCUGAGAGGAUGCACAGCCGCACUGGAACUGCGACACGGUCCAUACUCCUGCGUGAGGAAGCAGUGGUGAAUAUUGCACAAUGGGCGCAAGCCUGCUGCAGCCAUGCCGCGUGUAUGAAGCAGGCCUUCGGGUUGUAAAGUACUUUCAGCGGGGAGGCGUUACCCGCAGAAGAAGCACCGGCUAACUCCGUGCCAGCAGCCGCGGUAAUAC